AGCAGUCGCCACGGGAAUACAGAGGGUGCGAGCGUUAAUCGGAUUUACUGGGCGUAAAGCGUGCGUAGGCGGCUAAUUGAGUCGGAUGUGAAAUCCCCGAGCUUAACUUGGGAAUUGCAUUCGAUACUGGUUAGCUAGAGUGUGGGAGAGGAUGGUAGAAUUCCAGGUGUAGCGGUGAAAUGCGUAGAGAUCUGGAGGAAUACCGAUGGCGAAGGCAGCCAUCUGGCCUAACACUGACGCUGAGGUACGAAAGCAUGGGGAGCAAACAGGAUUAGAUACCCCAGUAGUCCCUGUCUCUUAUAC
rnacentral:rRNA from 1 species